rnacentral:lncRNA from 1 species
AUUCCGUUUCACAUUCCCACCAGUAUUAUAUGAAUGAUCCAGUUUCUCUUCAUCCUCACCAGUUUUUGGUGUAAUCAGAGUCAAUCUGAUAGAUGGACUGCUCUUUUUCUUGCUGGAGGGGUUCCAAGAUGUGUAAAAGACUAUGGGCUUCCAUUUUAUGACUCCGUUCACACUAGGUAAGUGUUGAAGAUAUUCAUUAAAUGUUGAGAGCUCUAUUCCUCAGUAUUGGAUGAUCUGUCCUCAGGCAAGAGGGUGUUUCUGAAUUCCUAUAAGAGCUUUUAUGCUCUCUGGUUCUCUAGGGAGGAAAGGGAGUUUGACAUUCAGAAUUAGCUUGUAUUUUGACAAGUAGGAGGAGGGUAAUACCAGAAAUUGCCUUCAAAGGCCACUUGCAAUGGAAAAUAAAAGUAAAUAAGCAGCGGUAAAUUGUGUCAACAUCUGACUUUAUAAUCUAUUUUCCUUAAUUAUUUUAAUAAGAAUAUGAAAGCAAGAUACAUUGUACAUAAAUCCCCUAGCAGUUGAGUGAGAGCCAAAGGAAUUUUAAGCCUUAAAAAAAGGUAAGUUCUUUGGGAAUUAGCUCUAGGCUAUAUAGGUGUUUUGGUGUGGUGAAGAUAUUCAUUUUACCUAAAGAGAAUUGGAAUACACUUUUGCUUUCAUGAGAAUUGUUUUAUGUAUGCAUUUAAAACAAAGAGAGGCCACUAAACAUUAUCAUGCUACCUUGGGUAGCUUUUGUUUUAAUUGAAAUGCCACCAGGAAAUAUAAUAUCUUAGAUUUUGUUGUUGUGUUUGUGAUGGUGUUAUGCUUUGUUCUGUUUACCAUUUAUGGCUUGGUGAAUAUUUUUAGCAUGAUAUGCAAUAGAAUUGGUAAGGUAUUGCGGAAGAGAAGAUUACAAUAAAGGUCAACACUGAGAUUUUCCCGUUUCUAAGGCCAAUUUAUUUUAAGGAAAGUAUUUUUUAGCAGUAAUGAUUUUCCAUAUUUUUCUAGAUUUUCCAGGGUUUGCUGGACAACAGAUACUUUAUGUACCACAUCAUGGAUCUAUGAAAGAUCACAUUGAUGGAGUACAUUUAAUUGCAGUGGUGAAGGAAAGAACUCCUGUUUUUAAAAAGCUAAUCUAUACAUGGUGCAGACUUUCCAACUUUCUUCUUCUUUCUCCCUCCCUCCUUCCUUCUUUCAGUCCAUAUGCUCCUCAGAGUCACUGCUGAGAGGGGGCCAUAGCUUCCAUAAUUAACAUCUUCCCUUCUCCACCAGCUACAAGACUUUCCAAAUUCCCAAUCAAAACAUAAAAAAACCAAAUAAUGAGACAUGAAAACAUCAAAAUGUGACCUCUCUUCUAUUUAGAAAUCUUGAUAAUUUGAAUGGAAAGGCAGAUUAUCAAGUCAGAACUGUAAAUAAUUUGGAACUUUGAGAUUAAUGCAUUGUAAUGUAUAAAUGUAUAUACAAGGCAGAGGAAAAUAAAAUGAGAAACAAAAUAUACAAAACUCAUUUGACUUGGGCAGUUGAUCUAGAAGAGUAGAUAUCUAAGCAGAUCCACCUGCCCUAAAUUAUUUCUCCUCAUAAUUUUUGACCUUUUUUUUUUAACCAGCAUCUCCCUUCUCCCAGUGCCUGAACUGAAACAAUUAAUUGGCCCCCACAAAUAUCUCCAUUUUUUUUUAACAUUUUUGAUGUCUUAAAUCAUGGCUCUAAAUUUACUGUCUAUGAUCUUUAAACAGGUUAUCUAAACAGUCUGAACUCUAGCAUCAUUUAUAAUAAUUCUUUGCAAAGAUAUAAGUGAAAUAAUAAAGCUAAUAAGCCUAGUACAGUUCCAAACAAACUAUGGAGUUUUCUUUGUCUAUUUGGAGUGUAUAUUUGCUUUUAGUCAUUUGCAUUUUGUUGUGAAUUAGUUUAAUCAGAAUGCUUUAUUCUCUAAUGUCUAUUCUUAUUGAAGAAUAAGAAUCAUUUGAUAGAAGCACUGAAGGGAAAGCUUAAUGUCCCUCAGAACAGCUAGACAUUAACUGGGUACCUGGAGGAGAGAGGAGAGGGACCCUUGGAGGCAAGGAGCAAAGCAGAACAGAGUUACAGAAUGUAAAAGAGAAAUCUCAUCUACUUUUGAUUUUUUGAGGCUUGAGAUGAUAAGGAAAUACAUCCCUUCUAUUCUUUUCCUGCUAAAAGCCCUCUGCAGUCAGAAUCUAAUACUUGGGCACUUCGUUAAUAUCACUCCUUAGUCACACUUGAAUUUGAAAAGUUUCUCUGAGCAAUCUGAUAAGUCAUCAUUUUAAUGGAAAGAAACAUUCUUCUUUACAAAUAUCUCUUUUCCUAUUAAAGUUUAGAUACAUAACCUCUUCAUAAUUAGAUUAGAAACUGACUGUAAUUAAGAUAGCACGUGAUUGAAAUCUCUUAACGCCAGUGCUGACACCAUUAAAUGACAGCUUCUGCAUUUCACGUGUUUUUUAGAUUAAUUGUAUUAGGUGAGUUUUGAUUUGGAUUCUGUAUGACUCAGUUGUAAACCAUGAAUAUAACUGGUUACACUGAAUAACCUUUUGUCCUAUUUUUUAAAUUAAUUCUACCUUCAGAAUCUGAGUGACAGGGUAUCUCAUAUGUUUCAAAUGUGACCACCAGAUAUUAUGGAACAUUGAUACAAAUAAUUCUACCACCCCUCACCAUUCUGGGGCUAAAACUGAGUAAAAAAUAGUAAGCAGUCUUCAUGUCCUCAUAACAACUCCAAUUCUGAGGGUAGCAUUUACUCCUUACUCAUCCCCCAAGAUGCUGAGAGUAGAGUUCAGUGUUUCUGCCCCACCGUCCAUCUUCCCCAUCACAAGCCCAUGAAAGAAGCCAGUCUCAUAUGAUAGGAUAUUAUAUAAAACAAUCAGUAGUUGACAGCUCAUUUUAAAUUUAUAAAUGUCUUCUUCUGAAUUCCUACCCUUUAUAAGAUUUUCUACUGUACUCCUUCUGUGUUGCUGCUAGGAAUCCAAUUUUAUGAAGAAUCCUUGGCAGCAUUCAUGUAAUGUUGCAAAUUCAUUCAGUAAUGGUACAAAUUUCAUGGAGGAAGCGCCAGCAAAAAAGCAAAGUGCCAUCAUUUAGUGUCAUUACACUUAUAAGAUCCAUGUAGCAUAAAGAAGAAAAAAAAUCAUUGCACCAAGUUCCGGCAGAACAUGGGGACUCAUUGAGAUUCUGCAGAGUAAGGGUGCAAUAAUGGGUCACAGUCAGUCAGUUGAAACAUUCUCUCCCUUUGGGAACAGCUGCACGUGACAUAAAUGGAGCACUCUUUCUUUCAGCUAUUAGGUGAACUUGAAUAAACCUGAAUUAUUUAAUUGUUUCCUUACAGGACUAAGGACUAUGGAAGGACUAUGGAAAAUAAGAACAUUAGGGAAUGUGAUAGCAAUUCUGAUUUUGUUUUAAGGUUUUAAAAACAUGACCCCAUGGAAUAUACUAAAUAGAAAAUGAUUUUGGUGGUGUGGAUUUGGUUUUUGUUGUCAACAAGACUUAUAUAUAUAUAUAUAUAUAUAUAUAUAUUUGUAACAAGAUCUUAUUUUAAACAGGGUGCCUAGCAGCUUGGCACGCUGACAAUAUUUGACAAAAUGGCAAACCAAAUGGCACUGAUAGGCAGAAAUUUCCCUCAAACUAGGGAGGAAAUAGCUCUCAGAAAAAAUAAAAUAAAAUAAUAAGGCUUUAAGUACGAAAGAGGAACAUGAGCAGAACAACGAAAAGGUCCUCAGAGGGACCAAAAAGUAUGAAAAAUAUAAGUAUAAAUCUUGCCUAAGCCCAAGGUAAACAGAAUGUCACUAAGUUGGUUCAAAACCUUAGACCUGUAUCAAUAGGAAACAGUCUGAAGUGAAGCAGAAUCUUAACACUCCAAUUCUGUUUUGUUACCUUUGUUCUAUUUUGACUACCAACAAAACAUUUAUUCAUUCAUUCAUUCAUUCAUUCAUUCAGUGAUCAUAGACUAAAGUGUUGAACUUUGUGCAAGGCAUCAAGAAUGAAGUAGUAAACAAGAAAAAAAA